CAUCCGGGGGAAGAAAAUAAAAGAUCCCGAGCGGCUGUCAGAGGGGCCCGAGCCCUUGCCUGUCUGUUCCUCCCCUGAGGGGUUCCACAGAGGAGGGGUCCGCUGCGAGGCGUCUUCUGUGUGCAGCAAUGCUAGGUGAGGGAUUACAAAGAACACACAACCCACGUCUGCAUUGCCAGGCAACAGAGGAAUGUGACUGGAUUUUGGCUCCUUUUCCGCUGGUAACCCACGGCACUGAAUGUGUAAGUACCAGAUGUUCAGGGACUUAUCAAAGCCCUGUCGAUCUCUCGCCGAGCCUAUUUGGAUUCUUUAUCCGUGUACCUGCAAAUCAACACAGACCGUGUCAACAACCGUGAAUGUGACCUACUUUGGGUCUGACAAAGAGUGCUCAAAAGAGAUGACUGGUGACAGGGUUCGGUCACCUGAUCGGCGCUUGUCGAAAAAAUGUACACCCCGGAAAAUGCUUGACACCUGGUCGUGGCUCAUGGCCAGAGUCACACAGCUGGCCCCGCCCCACCCCACCGAGCAUACCGACGACAUCUCUAGGACCCCGUGGUGACACAGGCUGGCAGUCAGAAACAACUUCCCUGUACAUGGAAUGCCUGGCCUUUGGCACUUCUUAGCACCUAUUACACCGAUCCUAACAACGUCCAUCGGCAUCUGGGCCCAGAGGGAAGAGCCGUCCAUUUUCAAUCAGUUAACAUGUUUCCUGCAUCCGCCGUUACGCUGAGGAGUUCUGGCGACGUAAAGCAGAUUGACACAAUCCCCCAACAGAGCGUUGAUAAAUCCAGAACGAAUUCAUUGCUGCUGUUUGGGAAGUUGAAUUUCAACACUCUAAUAUCUCUCUUAUAAUCAAACUUUUAUUCAUCUUACUAGAAGAGCUUAGACUAACUAAAUAAGUGCUGUAAGAUAAUCCUAAUUGAGGAGCUCGAGAUAAAGCAGUAUUACAAACAACAUGAUCUCCCUCCUUUACUUUAAUCUUAUCCAUGAGUCACAAAUGUGUCUUUAGGAAUGAUAUAUUUGGACUUAAACAGUGCCUGCUGCAUGAUCAUGUGCAACAAAGUUCUGGGUAAAUGCGCACACAUGUUGCUUGGAAUUCCUGACAGAGAGAUGGACAGGCGGAGGAACAGCAGGAGGAAGAUCAUUUGUGGCCCACAGCUCUCUGCUCAUUAUCUCCCGAUCGGCUGACAGCAGUCGGCCAUCCAUGAUGCACAGAGGCUUCGGCGGGGCUCACCUGUGCACUGUCCGAAAUGCUGCACCGUGAUGUCCUCGUCCUGCCUACAGGCGAUGGUCCUCAGCUGGCACUGAUCGGCGUAGGUCACCCCGUCUGAGCCGCACACCUGCUCCACGGUGACAGAGACGGAGAGAGGGGAGAUGGGAACACAUGUUACCUCCCUGCAGGCUGCUCAAACAAACUGCUGCAAACCACUCCGUGAGACCCACCUUGGUUUUGUUUUUCUCGUCACAGUCUGGGGAAGGACACUCGCAGUGGGCUUGGUCGUUCACCUCGAUGCAUGUCGCUCCGUAACUGCACACUAACUCCUCACAUGAGAUCUCUCCCGAAGCUCUCCAAAGGAAGUGUUUGAAGCCUUGAAGCCGCCGCAGCAGGCUCAGCAGCCGGGGAGCCCAGCAUCCACCUGCCAGGCUGGCGAGUGUGGGGUCUUUGCAUUGUUACUACAUCACACAGGCUGAGAGUACCCCCCAUCCCUGAGCACCGGCUUUCAUGUGCUACCUCAUCUUUUCAUCUGGCGGGGCGUGUGGCGGAGUGCCCCACCACUGUGCCGGGACUGCUGGCUUCAUUAAGCGUUUGACUUCCGGUCGAUAUCUGAUGGUGCAUCUGAAUCAGGCAGCUGCUGGCCCCCGCAGCAGGAACUAACCUUUUCCUACAAACAGCUUUUUAUUAGCUUGUGCAAUCACCGGGCUGUUUUUAUUAUUAAUCGAAGUGAAUAAUAGUUCGCGUACACAUUGCAAAUCGUCCAAAAUGGAGUGUGUGGAGAACAUAUCAAUGGCCGUAUGUCAUUUGUACACUCCACUAUUUUCAGAAUCACUAUCGAUUUACUGCCCUGCGGCCGCUUCCUCCCUGCACCAGUAAAGCAGAUGGAUGUGAAAAUCAAAGAGAGAGAAAACUGGCUGCUACGAGAUCAGACGGGCACUUUAAAAUGAUCUAGGGAGGUUGUGACGGAGAGGAAGACGCCCACAGGUUAGUACUCCACCUUUGUCGCAGCCGUUGGUGCUUCCGUCUCGACACACGUUGCACUUCAUGCCCUUCACUCCCGUCUUGCAGGAACACAGGCCCGACAUCUGCUCGCAGUCGUCCCGGACCGAGCCCGUGGCGUCGCAGUUACACGCUGCCAUGGAGAUGUAAGAGGGAGAGAAAGAGUGAUGAGAAAACAAUUAGGUCCAAUCAGAGGAAGAGUUUUGGUUUGGUUCGAGGCAGCACUUCUCUGAACAUCUCGGAGACAAAGGUUGGGAAUAGUUCACACAGCCUUAGGGGCCGCAGGAGGAGUGUGUAACGGAGACUCAAGAAAACAACCCCAGGGAAGGACACCAUGUUCCUGGAAUCAAUGAUGUGUGUUUUUUUUUUCCCUCCACUCCCGCUGAAGCUGGUAUUAGUGUGCGGUGUGCUGUCUGCUUGCUGUGUGUAAACCUUGUUAAGGUCAGGCAAUGGGUGAGACUUCCCGCUGUUGACUGAAAAUGCUCUGUGGCGUUGGGAGCGUAUGUCCUAUGUUCCCCCCAGCGGCAGGACACGAGCUGGUCACCAUAUUGCAUUACAGCAGACAAACAUGGGGUCCUGACCCCGCUCCUCGCUCGAAUACAAAUGAAAACAGUUCAUUCAAUACAGCCUUGACAUGACUAAAGGACACAGUAGGCGUUCCUCUCUGUAAAAACCUACCAACUGUAUAUCAGCCGUAUUAUAAACUUCUAACAGUCUACAAGGUAUGUAAGGAUAUUUAUCUAAAAGUUCUUAUUCAUUGGGAUCGAUUCCAAGAUAUAUUUAUUUUACCGCUACAGGGGUUGAGAUAUAACCGACUCUUUCACCGACAGUGGAAUCCAGUCAUGCUGAUUUGGUUCUAUUUGUAAAGGUUUUGUGACAUCUUCCCCAGAAGGUGUUUGGCUCCAUCCCAAAAAAAUAAGGUGAGUGAAAUAAAAAAAGUUCAACUGCAAUUAAUUUUUUCUGUCGCUGUGUAACAGGUAAGCACAUUCCCUAAAUCGGCACGGACACAAAGAGGCAAUUCCUUACGUGUGCAGCCACUCAUGUUCUCCGUCACGAUGCCGCGGAAGUUCCAGAAGCCCGGCUCGCAGCGGUCACACUUCUGUCCGCCCACACCCGGCUUACAGGAGCACUGGCCGCUGGCUGGAUCACACGUCCCCUUGUAGGAGCCGUAGACGUUGCACUGACACGUACCUGAGGAGAACAUCCACACCAUCACUGCUUCAUGCCUUUCUAACUGAGAAACAGCCAUUAUCCUGUGACAGCUGAAUACUGCUUGCUAUGAUGGAUAUUAAACAUUUAUGCUGGUCUGGAAAUCUUAGGUGAGCCCUGUUUGGCAAAUAAAAAAGGGUGGAUAAAGUGUG